AACUUCAGGCUGCUCAGAGGAAGCCAGUGCAAGUCACCUGGGCGCUAGCGCUGCUGUCUCAGGCUCUCCCGCUGCAGGGAGAGCGGCACUCGCUGGUCUGGAUGUGGUUGGAUGUAGGGGGGCUCCGCAGCAGGGUUGUCGUGGUGGUGGCAAGCGCUGCAACAGGUAGACGGCGAGAGGACGACCCUGGCCGAGGCAGCUAUGGAAACCAAAGGCUACCACAGUCUCCCUGAAGGCCUAGACAUGGAAAGGCGCUGGAGUCAAGUGUCUCAGACCUUGGAGCGUUCUUCACUUGGACCUGCAGAGAGGACCACUGAGAACAACUACAUGGAGAUUG
rnacentral:lncRNA from 1 species